AGCAAUUUGCUAAAUGAAAAAUCAUUCAUUUUCCUUUUCUGAAAUAAUAUAUAAAUUUCACAAGAAUAAUCAUGCAGAACAUCCGGUUUCACACUUAAGAAUAUAUACCCCCAACCUUCCUUGUAAAAAGCAGACGAUAUCACCAAAUUAAAUACGCUAAGGUGGAAAACAUCACAACUGCGAGUCCCCGCUGUCUGAUGAGAACUGUGCACAGAUUCAAGAUCAUUAUUACAACUCCCAUCUCUCCCCAGAAAAGGACAGCUGAACCAGCUGCUGACUGUAUAUUCUACGAAACAGCAUUAAACUCAAAGAAGUUCCUAUGAAAUGCUACUUCUCUAACAUUUCCCCUAUGUUAGAUGUGUAAAAACUUCCAAUUAUUAUAAAAGGAAAAUUAAGUCGAUUCUUUCCUAACACUCAAAUGCCAAGCUUCCAAAUCAAACACAAAUUUUCUAAAAGCAAAAGAUGCCCCGUGACAGUUCACUUCACAAUUCCCAAAAUGAAAUGAGUUCUCAACUGA